rnacentral:rRNA from 1 species
GCUUAAAGGGGCCGUAGCUGGUUAGAUAAAUCUCUUGUGAAAUCGUGGAGCUUAACUUCACGGCGUGCAGGAGACACUAUUUGACUUGGAACCGGGAGGAGUAAGAGGUAUUCUGGGGGGAGCGGUAAAAUGCUAUAAUCCCCGGAGGACCACCGAUAGCGAAGGUAUCUUACUAGAACGGAUUCGACAGUGAGGGACGAAAGCCAGGGGAGCGAACCGGAUUAGAUACCCGAGUAGUCCUGGCAGUAAACGCUGCGAGCUAGGUGUUGCAUAUCCUUCGUGGAUUUGCAGUAUCGUAGAGAAGUCGUUAAGCUCGCCGCCUGGGAAGUAUAGUCGCAAGGCUGAAACUUAAAGGAAUUGGCGGGGGAGCACUACAAGGGGUGCGGCGUGCGGUUUAAUCUAACUCAACGCAGAAAAUCUCACCAGGAACGACGGCAGGAUGAAAGUCAGGCUAAAGACCUUACUUGACAAGCCGAGAGGUAGUGCAUGGCCGCCGUCAGCUCGUGCCGUAAGGUGUCCUCUUAAGUGAGGUAACGAGCGAGACCUAUACCUACAAUUACCAUCAGGCCUUUUUGGGUGACUGGGUACAUUGUAGGGACUGCCUUGGAAACAAGGAGGAAGGUGUAGGCUACGGUAGGUCUGUAUGCUCCGAAUUCCCUGGGCUACACGCGCGCAACAAUGGUAGGGACAAUGGGCCACAAUUUCGAAAGGAGAAGUUAAUCCUCUAAACCCUAUCUUAGUUCAGAUUGAGGACUGUAACUCGUCCUCAUGACGAUGGAAUCCCUAGUAAUCGGACGUCAACAUCGUCCGGUGAAUAUGUCCCUGUUCCUUGUACCCACCGCCCG